rnacentral:rRNA from 1 species
UACGUAGGGUGCAAGCGUUGUCCGGAUUUAUUGGGCGUAAAGGGCUCGUAGGCGGUUUGUCGCGUCGGGAGUGAAAACGCCGUGCUUAACACGGCGCUUGCUUUCGAUACGGGCAGACUAGAGGUAUGCAGGGGGAGAACGGAAUUCCUGGUGUAGCGGUGAAAUGCGCAGAUAUCGGAAGGAACACCAGUGGCGAAAGCGGCUUCCUGGUCCAGCACCGACGUCAGGCACGAAAGCGUGGGGAGCAAACAGGG